AUAGGCUUGUGCGAAAAAGAUAGUGUUCAGUACCAGGGACAGGUAUGUUUAGUAGUGUGUGGAUAGUGUUCAGCACCAAGGACAGGUGUGUUCACUU
rnacentral:pre_miRNA from 1 species